rnacentral:snoRNA from 1 species
GGGCUUAUGAUGAUAACAUAAUUAUCUUAGCGGAUUUCAGUGAGAUUUCAAAGUCAAUGAUCUGAUUGUUACACACACUGAAGCUC